rnacentral:lncRNA from 1 species
UUCCAGCGAUUUCUAUUUGGGAAUGGAGGUCUAGUUUGGUGGCUCAAGCGUGACCCAUCUACAAUAGGCUCAAUGGUCGUUUUCAGCGUAGAGAGUCGCAAGCUCCAGUUGCACGAAGGAGAUGACAGUGGUGGCGUUCUGACGAACUGAAGACCUCUGAGUGUGAGCCUCCUCGGAGCGGAAGCAAACCGCGAUGGUGGACGCGGGUCAGUCUUGAUUGCGACUGAGUGCAAUCGGCGUCACGACAACGACGCGUCGCGAGAGACCUCCGACGACGAGGAGGAGAAGGUUGAAGAGCUGAUUAUCUGGUGAUGGCAGUGUAAAAAAUGACAUUGUGAUGCCGCCGUGGUUCUGAUUCUGCGUUUUAGGGUUUAGGUUGUUCAUCAAUUUUUUGGGGGUUUUGCUUAUGAUGAUCUGAUCUCGUCUGCAACUUCAGAUGUAAGGUUUCGUUCGAAUUAAAUUCGGGGUUUUCUUGUUCUUGUAUUUCGAUUAAGGUUGAUGGUUGUGAUGUUCGUCUCUUGAAUUGAGAGUGUUGUUUUGUUAACUUAUGUUUGGUUCUUCUUUAGUUGCGUGAAUGGUGGCCACGGAGGGCUGGUGGAUGCCGCUGUAGGGUCGCAGUGACGACGUUGUUAGCUUCUGACUGGGAUUACCUAAACUUGGGUUGGACUGCAGUUUGGGUUGGGCUGGCAAAUAUUGGUUGGGUUAACUAAUGUGGGAGGGGCACGUGGAUGUCUUUUUUAACCUCUGUAAAAAAAAUGCCACCUAAUUUUUUAUUUUAUAAUUUUAACCUCACUGCCACACAAUCACAUAACAUAACAUUGACACGUCAUUAAGUUUAGUCCAGGGGCACCAACACUGUUAGAUAAUUGACGCCAUUACGAAAAAGGAGUAACUUGAACUGGUUUUUCAAAAAGUGGGAUCAAUUGUUAUGCAAAAAAAAAAAGAAGAUAAGACCAUUUUGAACACAACCCUCAAACUAGGGACCAAAAGCGAUAUUAAGCCUUAUAUAUAUAUAUAUAUAUAAUUUAAAUAUUAAAAAAGUGAC